CUUAGCUAUGAGCUCACAUUUGCCAAUGUAGUGUUCCAGACAGUUUUAUCAUCCACAUUGCUGACCUGGAAGAUGCAUCAUUGUCUAUGAUAUCUGCAAUGGAAAUGAUCACUAGGCAAUUUCAGCCUUGCAAAUCUAACUGUGGCGUGUGGAAAGAAGAGGAACCAGAAAAGAAUGUUUGUGAAGUUCUGGCUUGAAUCUCGUGCCGGGAGUGUGAAGAAGGUCCUUGCUUCCCCUUCACCUUCUGCCAUGAUUCUAAGUUUCCUGACGCCUCCCAGCCGUGCUUCCUGUUAAGCCUGUGAAACUCCUUUGGAAUGAGUACACAUCCAGGAGUGAAGAAGACAAGCUCAACUGCCAUUCUCUGAGCAGUUCAAGGCAUACUGAGUUGCGGGAGUUGUGUGGUGGUCCACUCUGACUGCAAGCACCCCUUUCUUGAACCGAACAGAGUCAAGUGGAAUCAAAGGACAUUACCUGUUGAUUCUUGGGCAAGGCCCAGAAUUUGGUGGACAUACUUAAAGAAGAAAGGAAUCUUCAGCUAAAGUGUCUACGAUCAAUUCAGAUUUGGAGGGCAUGGAUCUUCUGACAGUAGGGGCCAUUCUAGGAUUUUUUGGUUGAAGAGAUGAACUUCAACUUGGUUCCAGAUGGGUGGUCCAGCUAUUCUGCUGACAACAUUUUUCAGGGCAAGGCUUUUGCUACUGGAAUGAUUUAAGGAAGAUCCCUCAGUGUUUCAGAGUAAAGAUAUUUCUAAAGAAGUACCUGUGUCAUUGCCCAUCUUGAAGAUUGACUUUUAUGGAUUGCUCAAAUACUGAUAUCAGCUCAAUGUCAAUAUAUACUCCUACAUAUAAAAUCCAUCUUCUAAUCAUAAUCACUAGGUAAGAUGCUAGUGCAAGUUGAAGUUCUUAAAGGAGAUGACCUGAACAGCCUUCUUAGUGUACCAGGGAGACCAGAUUGAGUUUAAACUAUGUUUACCCUGCACUCAGACACGCCUAGGUGUGUCUGGGAGAUUAGUAGAUGGUGUUCAACAAGGAUCUAUUUAAACAAGGGAGACAUUAAUUUGGAUUCCUUUGGUUGUAAAUUUCCAAAAAAAAAAAAAAG
rnacentral:lncRNA from 1 species